rnacentral:rRNA from 1 species
UACGUAGGGGGCAAGCGUUGUCCGGAAUCACUGGGCGUAAAGGGCGCGUAGGCGGGAUGGCAAGUCGGUCGUGAAAUCCUUCGGCUCAACCGAAGAACGUCGGCCGAUACUGCCGUUCUUGAGGGAUGCAGAGGAGAUUGGAAUUCCUGGUGUAGCGGUGAAAUGCGCAGAUAUCAGGAGGAACACCGGUGGCGAAGGCGGGUCUCUGGGCCGAUAUUGACGCUGAGGAGCGAAAGCGUGGGGAGCGAACAGG